rnacentral:rRNA from 1 species
UACGUAGGGUGCGAGCGUUGUCCGGAAUUAUUGGGCGUAAAGAGCUCGUAGGCGGUCUGUCGCGUCGAAUGUGAAAACCCGGGGCUCAACUCCGGGCUUGCAUUCGAUACGGGCAGGCUAGAGUUCGGUAGGGGGAGUCUGGAAUUCCUGGUGUAGCGGUGAAAUGCGCAGAUAUCAGGAGGAACACCGGUGGCGAAGGCGGGACUCUGGGCCGAUACUGACGCUGGAGGAGCGAAAGGCGUGGGGAGCGAACAGG